rnacentral:rRNA from 1 species
CUCUACUGCCAUACAACUUUGAACGUGCCUGAUGUUGGAAGCUAAGCAGGGUCUGGCCUGGUUAGACUUGGUAUGGGAGACCACAUGGCAUAUCAGGUGCUGUAGAGU